rfam:Gossypium raimondii chromosome 1, whole genome shotgun sequence.
AACCCAUGAUUAGGACACCUUCUCAGAAGAUCCUUAAAUCUCUCCUAUACAUCAUACUAUAUCUCAAGCCCAAAUUGAGUAAAGGAAGAGAUGUCAUUCCUCAACUU